rnacentral:rRNA from 1 species
UGAGAUUUUAAUUGAAUGCUAAGAGAAUGGAAGUCCAGAAAAAAACUUUUUUUAAAUUAAAAAUUGAAGUUUUUUUAAUUUGUGCAGAAACAAUUAUUUAUAUUAAAGACAAGAAGACCCUAUGAAUUUAUUAAAUUUUUAUUUAAUAUGUAAUUACUAUUAGAAAAAUUUUGGCUGGGGCGGCUAGAAAAUAUUAUGAACUUUUUAAAAAUAAAAUGAUCCAUUAUUAAUGAUUUUAUGUUAAAUACUCUAGGGAUAACAGCGUUAUAUUUUUUGAUAGAUCAUAUUGACAAAAAAGUUUGCGACCUCGAUGUUGGAUUAGGAUACUUUUUUAAUGAAGAUAUUAAAAAAAGAAGUUUGUUCAACUUUUAAUUUCCUACUUGAUCUG